AGACAACAUGAAUGUAGGGGGAACAGUGGAGGGAGUGAGGAAAGUUGUGGGUAUAAUUGAGGAAUUUUCAUUAUAAACCAGGGUCUCCUUGAACCACUGCCAGGUGCCUGCCUCCAACCUAUUACAAUUCUAUUUCUGCCCAACUUCUUCUGAGUUAGAGAUUUUCCACUCAGAUCUGAGAUCAACGAUCAUAUCAAAGAUUCAUGUGAGAUUCUCAAAAUUAAAUUAAAUUCACUUUCAUUUGGAAAUUCGUUAUUUAAUGUCCAUGGCUUGUUUGGAAAGAACAGAGAAGACAACAUGGUGAAAUUAAGCACUACCUAUACCUACUCCAAAAGUUUAGAUAUCAUUGAUCUAAAGUCAGUUAUGAAAUGACCAAGUAUGUAUAUCUGUCCACUUCUCUCUCUUCCACCCAAACUCCACAGGAGACAUAGCAACCCUUAGAGCCUUUACAUACAGCCUGAGGAAGUCUGUGCAAAGAUAGGGACCUGGGUGCCUCGGGCCAUACUGCCCAAAGCAGAGCCUGGCCCAGCACAGCCCUUGUGGUUUAGCUGCUAUAUAGUCCACAACAUCCUGCCUGACAAACAGAAGGCCUGGGAAGGUCAGAUUUACCCCCAGGUCACCACUUUCUGCCAGUGGCUUUCGGGUCCAGUGUUGAUUUUUUCCCAGAGUUUAAAUCCAGAAACCUAAUCGGGACCUGGUUUUCCCUGGGUAUUCCUAACUUAAGCAAUGACUUCCAGGCCUGAAAGACAUCUUCUCUUCAGCAGUAAAAUGAAUUGUUUGACUUAAGCUUAGCAUUGUCCUCAAAUAUCCAAACUGGCAUGGUUUGUUCACCCCGAGAACCAUCCACUGACAGCCUGAGUAGGGCAAGAGAGGCAGUGAGCUCAUUGGUGAUAUCACAGAGCCUCAGUUGCCAUGGCACCAAUUCUAGGAAGAAAACACAGACAAAGGGAGUCAGAGAAUGGAAAGAAAAGAAAAAAAAUGGAAUAAUAAUGAAGAGUAAGAAAAAAAUUAUGGAUUCAAAUUUACAUUUAAGGAAUUUCUCUGAAACUGAAGCAUCUAGAACAAUUCAUUUUUUUUCAGAAUGACUGUCUUUCUUGGGGCAAGUGACAUGUCAGGACUGGUUUCUGAGGUACUUCUGAAAUUAAAAAUUAAAAGAACUAAUUUGGAAAGUUAUGUCAUACCUCUGUGUUCAAAGGAAUUAAGCUUGGAGAAGAGAGAAGGAGCAUAACACAAGUUAUAGACAGUCUAAAAGAAGAAGGUAACAUCAGAAACGGGUCUGGAUCCCAUCUUCCCAUGAACCACACCCAAGAGUUCAAAUGUACCUCACUGUCAGUAUAAGACUACCAUGCAUCCACUUAAGCAGCAAAGAAUAAAAAGGACCUAAAGUUUUGUCCUUGCACAAUAUUUUGGUUGGAACUUUUUCCAAGGUAGUUCAUUCCCCUGAAGGCUCCUUGUGGGCAAUGAUUGUUUGGAAUAAAUCUUUGUUCACAGUGGGCACUCAUUUUUCAGUGAAAUUUGUUACACCAAGAUAAACAGGAAGUCAAGCCAUAGAGAACAACUUAUGAAUAAUCUUAUAAAGUAUAGUGUUUGAAGUAAAAAUGUUUAAGAAAAGAAGUCAAAAUAAUAAUGUUAAUAGCAGUUUCUCAGAGUGACCAAAAGGCAUAAGAAGAACAGGCAGAUGCCAUAAGCAGAUUAGAUAUAUUUUUUCACUUCAGGCAUACUAUUUGUGGAAAGAAAAUGAACCAACUUGAAUUACAGCCAAAUCUAAACUCUUACUCUCUGUAGUCUUCUGUUUAAUCGUUUUAAAUGAUAAAAAGAUAACAGAAACCUGUGGGCUUUAUAUCUCUUCAGAGGAAAUAAAACAUUUGUUUUUCCAAAGGGAUACAGCAUCUACUCACUGUACCACAAAAAUUUCAUUGCUUUAUUUAUAAGAUCAAAGACCUAAUGCCUGUCACUAAAACAGUAGCGUUUUUUCAUUUGUAUUUUCCUUACUACCAAGCAUCAGUAAAGUGUCCAUGGUGUGCAGCAAAUGAAAAGAGGAUAUGGUAUAGUUUCUUCUUAAGGGAAAUUCUCAGUCCAACUUUGAAGAGGAUACACUGAAGGACAUGCACACAUUCAAAGAAGCCAAAUCACUAAGUAUUCCUUACCCAAACCUGGAUUUUUGCACCUUCUGAGCUUUUAGUAGAGGAGCAUUUACUGUUACAGAAAAUAAAUAUGAGAACCCAGGGAACAGACUCUGCCAACCAAAAUAUAAACUGCUUAGAGGCAGUUAGCACUUAACAUAAACAUUUUGACUUGACCUGAUGAUCUGUCUGUACUCUGAAAUCUUCAUACCUUAAACUAUGGCACAAAAUUUCCUUUUCUGGAGGAGGAAGUCAUUUGUGAAGUUGUCAUCUAUAUGUUGAAGAAAAAGCUAAUGAUUGGACUGACAAUAUCCAGUCCAGAUCAGACCUCAAUUCCAGUUGUCCAUAUAAAAAUAGACAUCUUAAAGUCCUCUUCCAAGUUAUUCUGGAUUUGGGGAUAUUUCCUGUAAUAGAAUAUGCUUAGUGAUGAAGCUUCCUGGAUCACUUUAAAACUAGGGGGGAAUUCAAGGCAACCUAUAAUCCUGAAAGGUUAGUUUCUCCUUGCCCUCUGCAGAUUACUGGGAUUGCACCUACCUGAGAUAAAUCUACUCUGAUGUAAUUAUAACAGGGUUCUUACUUGCAUAUAACAGAAGUUAACUCCGGCAGAUUAGGCAUGACAAUGGAAAAUAUUUAUUGAUGGGAUAUCAGGAAUCUCAAAGAAUCAAUUAAAACUGAAGAAACAGAGUUGAGUCUCAGAUUUAAAGAUCAAUGUGCAAACCCCAGUGGAACUGCUCUGAUGAGAAAUCACUAUCACUACAGCCACACCACUGCCAGUGGCCACCAGAUGCCACAGUUUCAACCACUGUCAAUUCUGGGCUAGGAAUUUUUCUUUCCUGCAAUAAUUGUGCUACGUGCUUCAUUGCUAUUUUUAUGUCAAUAUUUCACCACUGCUUUCCCACCCUCACCCCACUUCUGCUUCUUACAUCACUAGCUCCUGCAUCAAAGUCUGAUGUAGCUGUGUGGGCUUGGUGGAACCAAUAAUACAUCCCUAUGCUGUAGCUGCAAGAGAGGCUAGGAGAGCUGGUACCUGGCAAUCAGAACUCCAAUUAUGCAAAGAUAAGCUCCAAGCUUGAUAGUAAUGUGAUUCUUCAAGCCGUGAAAAAGGAUUGAGAUACUAGGCAGCCAAAAGAAACAGACAAAAAAUAUCAACUAUAAUGUCCCAAUCAUAUUGAUUCCCCAAUAAUAUCCUUGGGCUACGUUCAAUCUAGACAUUACAUAGGAUAGACUUUAGUUAAAUGACCCACUCAUCAAUAGCAGUGAAGUAGAAGCAGGAUGAGAAAUGGGAAUAAAUUUCCCUAGGGUAGUUGAGGGCUUGUCUAUCUCAUGAUAAGUGCUGUAAGAAUAUGUCAUGAUGCUUAUUAGUUGUUGCUGUACUAUCUGUAGUUCUGAGAGACAGAAGUUUACCUAAAGGGAAGGAAAUCAUCCAUCAUCUGGAAAAGUCUGUAUUAGCUGCAGUGAAAUUUAAUGCUUCCCACUCUCUUUUCUUAGAACUGAAAAGGAGUAGAUAAAGAUGAUUCAUCACCUACUCUUUCUCUUUGAGCCAAAAAUUUUUAGCCUGGGAGUCAAUGGACCACAAUUCACCACAUAACCUAGAUCCUCACUUAUAUCUAGGUGUUCGUAGAGUCUGGAAAAGAUAUUUAUAUAUAAAACUAAGCUUUUCAAAAUUUAGAUUUGGCCUAAAUAUUGUAUACAUAGAAUUUUCAAUAACCAAGGCUUGCUUAUGUACACUGGGAUGAAUUAUAUUCCAUUUUCUAUUUUUUUUAAUUACACAAGUAAUAUAUUUUAAAAUGGAUAAGUUUUCAUUGUCAAAGACAAAAUACUACAAAAUAACAAUAAUCCUCAUAUCUCCAUACUUCUGUACACCUGCUUGUCUCCCAGCAAUGUGUCCAGUUUGAUAGGUAUACUUCUAGGCCUUUUUGGGUGAAUUUAUAUGUAAAAAUAUAAAUUCUGGGUUUUGAAUGAGUAUACAAAUUGGAUUACACGAAAGUAUUGCUCUAUAACUGUCUACCACACCCAUCCACUAUUCUCACUUAAAAAGCAAGUCUGAGAGGGGGCUGGCCCCGUGGCCGAGUGGUUAAGUUCGUGCGCUCCACUGCAGGCGGCCCAGCGU